AGAAGGAGCUCGCUGCUCCCCUGGGCAGCCCCGGCAGCGUUUCGGCGGCAGCGGCGCGAAGCCACCGAGGUUUUGGUAGCUCAUCCUUACUGAAAGGGGAAGAUGCUGUCAGCCACGGUAGCUCUUGGACUGUCCUACCUAGAGGUGAAGAGACAGGAAUGUGGCUUUGUGCAAGGCUUGAGACAUCUCCCUUCCACCAGGCAAACAGCCCUGAGCCAAGAGGAUUGUCUCUGGAUGGUUUUUCUCUGCUGGGAUCCCCGGAGUGAUCAGCCUUUGUGGGCUGCUGUGGGUCUUGGAUGCUCCCUUCUGUCUGGAGCUGGGAAUGUCACAGCCAGGAGGCUGCCAAGUCCUGCCUCAGUCUGGUGGAUUACUUCUGGCAUCAUUCUGCUGGUGUUUCUGCUUUCUACUGGUGGAACUGUUACCUGAAACAGCCCAACUUCCAGAUGUGGAGAAGCCCCCAGUGCUCCUGAGCUCCCUCUGAGCUGCUCCCUGGGAGCAUCGUGGCUCUGGGCAAGGAGCCCCCAGGCACGUGUAGGACACAACCUGCUGCUCUUGGGGUCUGUGGUGAAGGCUCAGGGACCUGAGAGGAGACAGCCAAGGUGCUGCAGCAGCCAUCGUGGCCAAAACACCCAGGAGCAGCCUCCCCAGGAUGGGCAGUUGAGCUGCAAGCACGGAGAGGAGUCAGCAGGGACCAGGAGAGGGGUCUGCAGGGACCAGCAGCUCCCCCUGAGCUUGCCAUGGAGCGACAGAGUGCCCACACCGAGAGCAGCUUCCUCACCAGCCGCCUCCAGAGCACUUGCUGGGCUCCACAUCCCCAGCCCAGUGAGGGGGGUUUCCUCCAGGUGCUGACCUCACUCCCCACUCCCAUUCAGAACCAAAAGGACUCAAUUAGCUGCUGGCCCUGCUGGGCUUUGGAAGUCCUCCUCUUGGCCAGGAUGGUGAAGUGCUCUUGGGUCAAACAGCAGCUCAAUGGUUUUCCCUGUGAAGGACCAAGUGCUUACUCAGUUCUAAGGAACCAGCUGUGGAUUGGUUUUGUCUUUUUGUACUCCUCUGCUCUUCUUUUUGGUGCCUUUGGGGGUUUGGGGCUCUUCAUGAGGAUGAUUGGACCCAGCCUGAAGUGUUCACAAAGUGCCCGGUGCCUGCAGUGGAGCCGGAGGGGCAAAAGCCUUGGGUGGAAGUCGGUGAUCGCAGUGCCCUCGGCUUUAAAGCUGUCUGGCAGAGUCUUGUCUUGUGCCAGGGGUGUUGAGUGGCUUUGGAGGGAGGGAUCAUUCUGCUGUGGGCAGCUGAGCACCCUCAGCCUGGGCUCAUCCCACGUGGAGCCCAGCCUGGGUGGAUGCCAAGGCGGGAUGGCAACCUGCAGCGAGCGGGAUGUCGGGACAGGGGAAAAUGUCACCCUCAGAGACAAUUAAAGUUGUUAAGGAA